rnacentral:rRNA from 1 species
UCAACUGCGACCCCAGGUCAGCGGGAUUACCCGCUGAG